GCCGGUGUAGCUCAACUGGUAGAGCAACUGACUUGUAAUCAGUAGGUUGGGGGUUCAAGUCCUCUCGUCGGCACCA
rnacentral:tRNA from 1 species